rnacentral:rRNA from 1 species
GAUAAACGCUGGCGGCGUGCAUGAGACAUGCAAGUCGAACGAGUACCGGGCUUGCUCGGUGCUAGUGGCGGACGGCUGAGUAACGCGUAGGUGACCUACCCCGAAGUGGGGAAUAACUGCCCGAAAGGGUGGCUAAUACCGCAUGUGGUCGCACGUUCAUUCGUGCGAGUAAAGCCGCAAGGCGCUUCGGGAGGGGCCUGCGUCCGAUUAGCUCGUUGGUGGGGUAAUGGCCUACCAAGGCGACGAUCGGUAGGUGGUCUGAGAGGACGAUCACCCAGACUGGGACUGAGACACGGCCCAGACUCCUACGGGAGGCAGCAGUCGGGAAUUUUGCUCAAUGGGGGAAACCCUGAAGCAGCAACGCCGCGUGAGGGAUGAAGGCCUUCGGGUUGUAAACCUCUUUUGUCAGGGACGAUGAUGACGGUACCUGGCGAAUAAGCCACGGCUAACUACGUGCCAGCCGCCGCCGUAACAC